GUGCUUGCUUCAGCAGCACAUAUACUAAAAUUGGAAUGAUACAAAGAAGAUUAGCACGGCCCCUGCACAAGGAUGACAUGCAAAUUCCUGAAGCAGUUCUAUAUUUUU
rnacentral:snRNA from 1 species